rnacentral:rRNA from 1 species
AUGGGGACCGUGGAGCGGCAGAACAAGGAGACAAAUGCCAAGCUCGACGACAUCGUUGAACAGCUGAAGGGCAUGACCGCGUGGAUGAAGGCAAUGGAUUCCACGACGAAGAGCCUCUCCGAAUCUGCGGUGCUUCUUCAGCUACACGCCGAGGAUGCAUCGACGCGACUGGAGGCGCUCGAGUCACCGCCGACGCGCCCCCAAGGCCCAGCCAGCGCGACCACGACGCCUCCGUCUGUGGUGGUGCACGCGCAUGGUGGGGAGCGGCCCAGUGGGCACAGCGGGCAUCACCAGCAACGAGGGCCGGUUUUGGGGGAUCCCCGUUCCCCAAAUCCGCCUCCGGCCAAUGGUAUGCCCUCCUUCGCCACGUUUGCCGUCCGGGAGUCCUUUUGUGAAGCGCCGAUUUUUGCACCCUACCCCUCGACCACACUUGGGCAGCACACCCGAAAUGGAUUUUCCUAA